rnacentral:rRNA from 1 species
UACGUAGGGUGCAAGCGUUGUCCGGAAUUAUUGGGCGUAAAGAGCUCGUAGGCGGUCUGUCGCGUCGGCUGUGAAAACCCGGGGCUCAACUCCGGGCCUGCAGUCGAUACGGGCAGACUAGAGUUCGGUAGGGGAGACUGGAAUUCCUGGUGUAGCGGUGAAAUGCGCAGAUAUCAGGAGGAACACCGGUGGCGAAGGCGGGUCUCUGGACAGUUCCUGACGCUGAGGCACGAAGGUCAGGGGAGCAAACGGG